GACGAACGCUGGCGGCGUGCCUAAUACAUGCAAGUAGAACGCUGAAGGAGGAGCUUGCUCUUCUGGAUGAGUUGCGAACGGGUGAGUAACGCGUAGGUAACCUGCCUGGUAGCGGGGGAUAACUAUUGGAAACGAUAGCUAAUACCGCAUAACAGUAGAUGUUGCAUGACAUUUGCUUAAAAGGUGCAAUUGCACCACUACCAGAUGGACCUGCGUUGUAUUAGCUAGUUGGUGGGGUAACGGCUCACCAAGGCGACGAUACAUAGCCGACCUGAGAGGGGGGUCGGCCACACUGGGACUGGGACACGGCCCCGACUCCUACGGGAGGCAGCAGUAGGGAAUCUUCGGCAAUGGACGGAAGUCUGACCGAGCAACGCCGCGUGAGUGAAGAAGGUUUUCGGAUCGUAAAGCUCUGUUGUAAGAGAAGAACGAGUGUGAGAGUGGAAAGUUCACACUGUGACGGUAUCUUACCAGAAAGGGACGGCUAACUACGUG
rnacentral:rRNA from 1 species